UACAGAGGUCCCGAGCGUUGUUCGGAUUUACUGGGCGUAAAGGGUGCGUAGGCGGUGGGGUAAGUUUGAGGUGAAAGCUCCGGGCUCAACCCGGAAACUGCCUUGAAAACUAUCCGGCUAGAGGGUUGGAGGGGAGACUGGAAUUCUCGGUGUAGCAGUGAAAUGCGUAGAUCUCGAGAGGAACACCAGUGGCGAAGGCGGGUCUCUGGACAACACCUGACGCUGAGGCACGAAAGCCAGGGGAGCAAACGGGG
rnacentral:rRNA from 1 species